rnacentral:rRNA from 1 species
CCUACGGGAGGCAGCAGUGAGGAAUAUUGGUCAAUGGCCGAAACGCUGAAGCAGCGAAACCGCGUGAGUGAAGAAGUAAUUAGUUACGUAAAGCUCUAUCUGCAGGGAAGAAACACUGACCUUACGGUCCGGACACGGUACCUGUGUAAGAAACCCCGGCGAAAUACGUGUCAGCAGCCGCGGUAAAAAGUAGGGGGCAAGAGUUUUCCGGGUUUUCUGGGGGUAAAGGGGGGGUAGACGGUGCGCCAAGUCUGGGGUGAAAUGCCGCAGCUUAACUGCGGAACUGCUGUUGAAAAUGGCUGUCUAGAGUGCGGGAGGGGUAAGCGGAAUGCGUAGUGUAGCGGUGAAAUGCGUAGAUAUUAGGAAGAACACCGAUUGCGAAGGCAGCAUACUGGCGCGUAACUGACGUUGAGGCUCGAAAGCGUGGGUAUCAAACAGGAUUAGAUACCCGAGUAGUC